rnacentral:lncRNA from 1 species
CGUUUAAGAGAUCCGUACGCUCUGCCGCUCUCCGUGCUGCUAUUGGCUAUGCGGCAUUCUGUGACGUCACGCGUAAGGACAUUUUAAGAUAGGGAAGCGUUUUCCCGUAAGGUUUUUGUCCCUACGCGGUCCGCGUCGGUAUAGGGAAUGUCCGCGCGGUACGGAUAAAUCCGUACGCUUGGAAUCACUGCGUUAAAGUAACCUCUUCCCGUUGGCGAAAGCUCUUUUUUGUGCGUGCCAUUUAAUGAAAAUGUAACGAUUCGAGCUCGUAGGAGCUUGUGUUGCCUUCACUAAAAAUUGAAUGCGAACUGACGUGGCUUCAAUGUAUCGUUAUCGGUAAUUUUUUUUUUUUUGAAUGUUUUCCGAGUUAGCGUGCAAUUUUACGGCGAUCGUUACUUACCUUUUUUGUCUUUUUUAGUUGUCUUUUCUCUUUCCUCUUCCUAGUUUUUUGGGAAAAAUGUACUUUUAAAAAAGUAAUGCCAAACUCAGUUUUCUCGCAAUAAAGCCCCAGAUGCCAACUUCUUUGCGAAAUCAUCGAUAUAUGAAUAAUGGAUAUCUGACCUUUGCCCUAUUUAUAAUUGGACUUCUCGAUGCUUCUCGGACUUCUAUAAUUGGACAAAUUCGAGCUUCCUGCUCCCUGUUAAGCAUUGCCGUAAGUACUUAAAUAGAAUAACGUUAUUUCAAGGGUAUGAAAAGUAAAUUAACUGUCCAACUGAUAAGCACAUUUGCGUACCUCUCUUAUCAGUUUGGCGCGUGGAGCCUUGCGCAUUUUUGGACAUUACUUGAUUUCUCUCCAGAAAAUCAAAUCUGCCUGAAUUCUAUACCUCUGGAAACUUUUUACAAGUGCUGAAACUCAAAAUUCUUAUUUUAGGGGCGCGGUCGAACACGAGUGAGGCAUAACGCUGCUUACGAUGCGUAGUUUUAUAGGUAACAUUCGUCUUUUUUACUAUUUUUUGCUAUUUUCUUCAAUUUCCCCAAAAAACAGUCACACGGAGGCAGGUCUUAGCAUGAUCAGAAAGUAAAAAUACGUUGCAUACAUCGUUCUUGGAUAGGAUUGAACAAAUUUAGGGAGCAUCGCGGUCCAUUUUCCGAAGUUGCCCAAAG